rnacentral:rRNA from 1 species
CAGCAGCCACGGUAAUACGGAGGGUGCAAGCGUUAAUCGGAAUUACUGGGCGUAAAGCGCACGCAGGCGGUCUGACAAGUCAGAUGUGAAAUCCCCGGGCUUAACCUGGGAACUGCAUUUGAAACUGUCAGGCUGGAGUCUUGUAGAGGGGGGUGGAAUUCCAGGUGUAGCGGUGAAAUGCGUAGAGAUCUGGAGGAAUACCGGUGGCGAAGGCGGCCCCCUGGACAAAGACUGACGCUCAGGUGCGAAAGCGUGGGGAGCAAACAGGAUUAGAUACCCGUGUAGUCCCUGUCUCUUAUAA